rnacentral:rRNA from 1 species
UACGUAGGUGGCAAGCGUUGUUCGGAUUUACUGGGCGUAAAGGGCGCGUAGGCGGUCAGCACAAGUCAGUUGUGAAAUCUCCGGGCUUAACUCGGAAAGGUCAACUGAUACUGUGCGACUAGAGUGCAGAAGGGGCAACUGGAAUUCUCGGUGUAGCGGUGAAAUGCGUAGAUAUCGAGAGGAACACCUGCGGCGAAGGCGGGUUGCUGGGCUGACACUGACGCUGAUGCGCGAAAGCCAGGGGAGCGAACGGG